GGCGGAUUGGGUGAGGGGCGCCAAGAUGAACUGGACCAGGGUAAUAAGGGCAUGCACAGACAAAUCAAUAAAUUACCAUCACAACGAAUAGCCCACUGACCCCUGUGGAGGAGUUUGAAAAGCACAAAAACCCAGAAUUGGAUUGAAGGGGCGAUAUGGAAACGCAUGGAGUUUAUUCUGAAGUAAAUCAGAGGUUGGAGGAGAAUGAGACGUUUGGGUGAGGAGGCAAGAAAGAGAACCAGAAUCGGAUAAUUAGUGCUAAUGUGCACAAAGAGCUCGGAAGGACGUGGAAUGGGAUGAGGAAAAGGAAGAAUUCCACACCAAGAAUAAAGCAGCAUACAGAUAAGUUGUUUGUUAAUCUAUUUGCAGGGCGGAGUACGGAGCUUUGAGGUUUGCCUUGGUUGACAGUUGCUCUGGGAGGUAGUUUGGUGGUAGGUCUGAUUGUAAUGAGGGCAGGAAUGGAAAGUGUCGGAAGUGUUGAUGGUUGGACGUGGUGGUUUGGUUCAGUGGUCGUUGCGAAGGAAGGAAGGAAGGUUGAGAUGGUCCGCAGGUUGUUAGGCUUGUCUCUGUCCCGAGCAGCUCUUUGUUUUGAGUUGACGUUUACAGUGCAGGCUUGGAAUGAGGAAUUUAUCAUCUUGAUCAAUACACAACUGAAUAGUUGUAUUUUAUUCAGGGU